rnacentral:rRNA from 1 species
UACGUAGGGGGGCUAGCGUUGUCCGGAAUCAUUGGGCGUAAAGAGCGUGUAGGCGGUCCGGUAAGUCCGCUGUGAAAGUCGGGGGGCUCAACCCUCGAAUGCCGGUGGAUACUGUCGGGCUAGAGUGCGGAAGAGGCGAGUGGAAUUCCUGGUGUAGCGGUGAAAUGCGCAGAUAUCAGGAGGAACACCUAUUGCGAAGGCAGCUCGCUGGGACGCAACUGACGCUGAGACGCGAAAGCGUGGGGAGCAAACAGG